AAAGGGCUUUUCAUGCAAUUUACUUCACCAGACUGUAAAAUUCAAAGAAAUACCAUGUGAAAGAUGUGAAAGCUUUAAAUAUAGUUACACAGAGAGGAUACUGAAUGAGAAAUAAAUUCGUGACUGACUGAUUUCACCAAGUAAAUCACUGAUGGAUUUUGAUAUCUAUUCAGGGUUAAACGUCAAUGAUUUUUUUACAACAAACAAACCUUUAUUAUCAUUACUAUUAUUAUGAUUAUGAUUAUAGUUUAGCCUUUUAUGUUAUUUUAUUUUAGAUUUUCUUCAACAGCAUCACAUUCAUGGUAAAUAACUUUCUUUUGGGCGAAAAAAACUCGAAAGAAGAAAAAAAAGCGUAAUGAAUAAGUUAAGAUGGUUAAGAUUAUUUUCUUACAUAAAAUGAAAGGCAUUUCCCAUUGGAAGGUUACUUUAUUAUUAUUGUUACCAUCAUCAUAAUCAUUAUUUCUUGAUCUUUUUUUCUCUCCAGAAGGAAAUUUUCAUGGAAAAAUCAAAAUCCAUUGGAAUUGGACUCAUUUGUAGACAUUAUCUUUGUGUUUGACGUUAUAACAAUGGUCAUUGGCAAACUGAAGGACUUUAGUUUCACUUUUUGGUUACAAUUAAAACAUAAUUUACAAUGAAAGACAUUUUGCCUUACGACAAGUAUGUUGAUUCCCUUUCCCAUUCAUUGCUUUUAUAACCAAUUUCGGCAACAUUAGAUGCUCAUAAUUCUUAAAGGCUGGAAGCUGAAAGAUUUUGAUUGUUAUCAUGUUGAUACGAUUGGGGCUGGACAAAAAGUCAUUGAGCGAUGAAACAUUGACACUGAAUUGAAUCUUUGCUGGAUUAAUUGGUUGGAUCUUGUUUUUUCCUUCGGUUCUUCUACCUUAUUCAGUUGAGAUUCUUAAAUAUGACGAGGUUGAUGGAAGUAAAUACUUAUUCAUAAAGACAUGGAAAUUUAUUUGGAACUAUUAGCUUCCUGAUUUACAUAAACAGUUAUUAAAUACGGAAUAUUGGAUUGAUAUUGCAGCUAAAGUUUAAAUUGAUCAAAUUUGAAAGGUGAUCAAUCAUAGAA